rnacentral:rRNA from 1 species
UACAGAGGGUGCGAGCGUUGUCCGGAAUCACUGGGCGUAAAGGGCGCGUAGGUGGCCUGAUAAGUAGGGGGUGAAAUCUCGAGGCUCAACUUCGAGGCUGCCUCCUAAACUGUCAGGCUUGAGCAGAGUAGAGGCAGGUGGAAUUCCCGGUGUAGCGGUGGAAUGCGUAGAGAUCGGGAAGAACACCAACGGCGAAAGCACUCUGCUGGGCCGACACUGACACUGAGAGACGAAAGCUAGGGGAGCGAAUGGG